CCUACGGGUGGCAGCAGUGGGGAAUAUUGGACAAUGGGCGAAAGCCUGAUCCAGCCAUGCCGCGUGUGUGAAGAAGGCCUUCGGGUUGUAAAGCACUUUCAGUGGGGAAGAAAGCCUUGGGGCUAAUACCCUCGAGGAAGGACAUCACCCACAGAAGAAGCACCGGCUAACUCCGUGCCAGCAGCCGCGGUAAUACGGAGGGUGCGAGCGUUAAUCGGAAUUACUGGGCGUAAAGCGCGCGUAGGCGGUCUGAUAAGCCGGUUGUGAAAGCCCCGGGCUCAACCUGGGAACGGCAUCCGAAACGGUAGGGCAGGAGUGCGGAGAAGGAAGGAGAAAUCCCCGGGGUGGCGGGAAAGGCGGAGAGAAUCGGAGGAAAAACCAGUGGGAAGGCAGGCCUUCGGAACUAACCUGAAGGCGAGGGUCGAAAGCGGUGGUAGCAAACCGGAAUAGAUACCCGAGUAGUC
rnacentral:rRNA from 1 species